ensembl:lncRNA
CUUGGCUGGAUUUUUCUAGUCAGCUUUAUGAGGUAGAGUCACCUGGAAUGGUGUUCAGUCGAGUUAAUUACUUGAAUUUUUCUGACCUUAAUGUGUUUGAGAGCAUCAGUUGUAAAGUUGUAAAGAGGUAGAGUUGGUACACAGUGAAUAGCUCUAUUAAAUAAUGUUCUAAUCCAUAUUAUGAGAAGCAAGAACUACUCAACUAAGUAAAGAAAAAAUUACUUUGAGAAAUGAAGGUCGGUCAAUCUAAAAGAUUUCAAGAACUUUGAAAGUAUUCUCAAGUGCAGUUAUCACAAAGACCAUCAAAUCGGUUAUGGUAGAACUGACUCUCAUCAGGAAUACUCCAGGAAAGAAAGAGCAAGAGUUACCUCGACGAACGUAACAGAAACCAACUUUUACAAGUGCAAUUUGUAUUCGAAAACUUAAAGCUUAGUAUCAGCUAAUUGGUGUCUGACUGUGGCGAGUGCAAAGAGUUGUGACACUGGUAUCAUGACAAUCUUUUAUCUAAAGUACAUGGUGCUACCUUCUUUCUAUAGGAGUCAUGGACUCUUAUCUGUUUCACUAUUUCAGGAUGAGGAUGUUUCACUUCCCGAGGUGCCUGCUGAGCCCCUGCCCACACUGCCUAAAGAGGAGAAGGAGAAAAAAGCAGCGGGAGUCAAGCAGGAUGGAGAGAUGCUGGCAGCGUAGUGACGCCCCACUGUCUCGAAGAACGGUUUGAUCAUACAUAAUCAGCCUCACAUGUCACUUCUUCUUCUCUUUGAUCUGAGCAUUAGUGGAGCACAAGUACACUUUUUUCCCUUCUUUAUUUCUUUUUUUGUCCAAUGUUUAUGAAGCUUCAUUUGUCUUGAAGGUACAUCAGCACCAAUUUUAACUAUUUUAAUUUGAUGAUAAGAGAAAUGUUGGAUUUAUGUUGAAUGAAGGAUGGAUUCGAAGAAUGUUUUUUUUGUUUGUACCCAAAUGAUAAGGUUGAAAUGUCAGAUUUGGUUCAGUUUUAUGUUGACUUAUAUUUGACAGCAACAUCUGUUGCUUUUAGUUGCAAAGAAUUUGAAAUAUAUAUAUACAUCUCUGGAAAAAAAUAAGAGAGCACCUCAGUUUCUGAAUCAGUUUCUCUGAUUUUGCUAUUUAUAGUUUUAUGUUUGAGUAAAAUGAACAGAAAUGGCUGAAAUAACAAAAAAUGCAAAGCUUUCAGACCUUAAAUAAUGCUAAGAAAACAAGUUCAUAUUCAUGAAGUUUUACGAGUUCAGAAAUCAAUAUUUAGUGGAAUAACCCUGGUUUUAAUCACAGUUUUCAUGCAUAUUGGAAUGUUCUCCUCCACCAGUCUUACACACUGCUUUUGAAUAACUUUGUCACUCCUGGUGCAGAAUAUAUUCCAGAGGUUUUCAAUUUGGUAAAAUCAAGGAAAAACAUCAUCAUUAAGUGGUCUCUUAUUUGUUUCCAGAGCUGUAUAUGUUUUUAGGCAGCUUUGACCCUGUUUACACCUGGUUACUAUGUGAGCAGUAUAUCUGGAUUGUAUUCUGAUAAGAUUUUAACUGCUAGCAUUUGCACUUCACCCACUCCACUGUCAGCAAAUCUUUAUCUUUUAUUCAAAAAAAGAAUGUGUGUUAAGUUUCUGUUUUUACUGUAAUUCCCUUUUUUGAAAUAACCAUAUAUCGACCAUUAUUCUUUUUUAUUGCACUUAUUUUUUACA